UACGUAGGGUGCGAGCGUUGUCCGGAAUUAUUGGGCGUAAAAGAGCUCGUAGGCGGUGUGUCACGUCGGCCGUGAAAACCUGCAGCUUAACUGUGGGCGUGCGGUCGAUACGGGCAUCACUGGAGUUCGGCAGGGGGAGACUGGAAUUCCUGGUGUAGCGGUGAAAUGCGCAGAUAUCAGGAGGAACACCAGUGGACGAAAGCGGCUUCCCUGGUCCAGCACCGAACGUUCAGGCACGGAAAGCGA
rnacentral:rRNA from 1 species